rnacentral:rRNA from 1 species
GUUUGACCUCAAAUCAGGUAGGAUUACCCGCCGUGAACUUAUGCAUAUCAAUAAGCGGAGGA